GGGCGUUUAGCGCAGUGGUAGCGCGUAUGCUUUGCACUCCGUUUCGGCGCGCAACCAAUUCUUCAUUGGGUUGGAAAGAUGUAUAAGGUCCAGGGUUCAAUCCCCUGAACGUCCA